rnacentral:snoRNA from 1 species
UGCAGAUGAUGUAAGAAUUUGCUGCCUGAAAGAUGGUGAUGACGUAGUAAACCACCAAGAUCGCUGAUGCA